GCGGAUAUAGUGUAACUGUAACAUGCGACUCUUCCAAAGUCGUGUUGCGGGUUCGAGUCCCGUUAUCCGCUCCA
rnacentral:tRNA from 1 species